CCUACGGGAGGCAGCAGUAGGGAAUAUUGCACAAUGGGGGAAACCCUGAUGCAGCGACGCCGCGUGAGCGAUGAAGUAUUUCGGUAUGUAAAGCUCUAUCAGCAGGGAAGAAAAUGACGGUACCUGACUAAGAAGCCCCGGCUAACUACGUGCCAGCAGCCGAGGUAAUACGUAGGGGGCAAGCGUUAUCCGGAUUUACUGGGUGUAAAGGGAGCGUAGACGGCUUGGCAAGCCAGAUGUGAAAGGCCUGGGCUCAACCCCAGGACUGCAUUUGGAACUGUCAGGCUAGAGUGUCGGAGAGGCAGGCGGAAUUCCUAGUGUAGCGGUGAAAUGCGUAGAUAUUAGGAGGAACACCAGUGGCGAAGGCGGCUUGCUGGACGAUGACUGACGUUGAGGCUCGAAAGCGUGGGGAGCAAACAGGAUUAGAUACCCUAGUAGUC
rnacentral:rRNA from 1 species